UUUUCCUCUCUCUCUCAGGAACAGAACUUUUUCUCUCGGUCUUCUUUCAAAGCCUCUCUUUUCAUAAACAAAAACAAUUACGAAAUCUGCUUUGAUUUCAACCGAAAAUCCGAAAAUCAGGACCGUUUCUUCCAAAACCUGGUAUCCUAAUCAAAACCCAUGUAUCAGAAAUCUGGAUCCACAUUAUGAGAACUUGAAUUUUUUGGAAACCCUAGAGUAUCUUGUUCUUGAAAUCAAUAAAAACCCCUCAAUCUAAUAGUCGAUUAUGCUUUUAUCAACCAAAAGUUGAUUGAUUCUGACCUAAUUUAUCAUCAGUUGUUGGUGAUGUUGUUGAUGGAGGUUGGAUUCAGGUGUUAGUGGUUGGUGAUGUUUUGCUUGUCGUCGUUGGUGGUGGUCGGUUCACAGUUGUUGCCGUUAUGGGUGGUUUUUGGUGUUUCCUGUGGUAGUUUUGGUGAUGAAGUUUUGACCUAUUCUUGUUGGUGUCUUGGUGAUUGAUCUAUUGCAGUGUGGUUAUUUAGUCUUCAUUUUAAGAUGAUAUGAUUUUUUGGUGUUCUGUAGUGUGAGGUACAUGUGUAUGAAUUCAAGAAGAGACAACCUAACAAAUUCGCCUACAUCGUUGAAGUUCGGUCCAUCGCAAUCUCAAAUUAGACCACCAAGUGGCAUGCUUUUGCGAAUGCUUUCUCGGGCCAGUGCGAAAGGGGUAACUGAUUGUGGACUUCCAUAUCACGCAUUAAAUAAAACAAUUAUUAUUGUAUUCCAGGCUAUAGGUUUGUUGCUGAUAAGGAUAUUUUGGAGCAGAUUUGUUACGAAUUCUCUGAAAAAACCAACAAGUAUACAGUUAGCUCUUUUGUAACUAAGGCUGCUAGUAAUGUCAACAGUUAUAUUUUCCUUCCUUUCUCUAGUCAGUGGACUUUCUUAUUAAGUAGGUUAAGUGAGCUAUCAACAAUAUACACCUUGGUUUGGAGAGGCCACUAUAAUUUAUUGUUAUCUCAUCCAUCUAAGUAUUGGGGUUAACCUUUUUCAGAAUUAUACUUCCAGGUACACGUGAUUUUAUUGUUAAAUUUUAUCCUUCUAGGUGUAUAGAACUUCCAUUUUGAUGUUGGAUGAAUUUCUAAGCCAAUGAAUGUUUUUGUUGCAUUUUGGACCACCUCAUAGUGUUUACUUAUCUCUCUUUACAUCAGGUUGCCUUACAGCACAAGCAGUGAUUCCUUUUUUCUGAUGCCAAUAGAGGUGCUGCCAACUGAUGAGGUUGUCUGUUUCAACCUGCUGUAGGUUGCACUAGAUUACAUUGGUAAAAGAGGAUCCACUGUGGGUGUGACAAGAGAAAAGAGGAUCAAGUACGCAAAAGAGAUUCUCCAGGCAGCUUUCUAUUUUAGGUUGUUAAAGAAUUGAAAAGAUGUAUAGCAAAGAAUUGACAGAUGUUCAUCGAAAAUCGGACUCUGGUUCAGGGAGUUGUUUCACGUGUAUUCUUCCAUUAUUAUGCAUUCAGAAAUUCUCCGGAAGUUCUUCAGCUGCUCCCCUAGAUAUAUCAUUCAUUGACUGUUGCUAUGUUCUCCCGGUUGAAGGCCUGAGGAUGAUUGAGACCAUUAGAGAAACAAGAGGCUGGACAUUGCUGGUCCUUCACUUGGAGGCCUAUUCUGAAUGAUAUUCAGGAAGUUGACUAGGGAUGUCAGAGGCUACGUUCAGAAGGUUCUCUUUACAUGGACAUUGCUGGUCUUUGCUUAUGUUGCCUCUGCAUGGGAGAGUGUGUUGAGUAAUGGGUCUACACCGGCAAGUACCACCAACCCUCCUCGAAUAGUCACUCCUAGCCUAUAAAAAGGGUCCAAUACUUAUCCUGUUGGUGGAAGUCGUCGUGUUUUGGAUAAUGUGGAUAGGACUUAUACUCAUGUCAUGUCAUAUACAAAUAUGGAGUUGUUCUUUUCUUUUUCAGCAUUGAUGUUUAGAUCAGGCUUCGGUAUUGUUGGAGUGGCAAUGAUUGCAGUUCAAUUCCUUGUGGAGUGUUGAAGGAUUGCAGUUUAAUUCCAUGCUAACCGUUGAUUAACUGCCUCAAACUAUACUUAUCUUGCUACAUUCUAUCAAGCUUGAGCAGAGUGAAUUUGGCUGCAAACGACCUGCCUUAGAUUCUUCCACUCAUUGAAAAUAUCCCCUCCACGAACUGUUGAUUUCCCAUGAUUAACUAAACACGACAAGCGAUGAAAAAGAUUAGUGUAGCGAGUCAGGAGCCAGUUAUUUUCAAUUGCUCAGUCGAGGAAGACUUUAUCCACAAUCAUCAGUCGCCAACAACUUAUUCUUUGUGUAGAAAAUGCAGCGUUUCAUCAAGACUUUGUUGAUUCAGUGUCUGCUGAGCUAUUUAAUUGACCUAUUGGCACCUGCAAGAGAACUGGAAGAAGAGAGGCAUAAGAUAAAGGAACAGAGGAAGAAAACAUCCUUCUUGAUUGUGACAAGCAUGAGAUUCAUUACAUGGGGAAGGCUCAAAUUAAAAUGUUUAUCCACAUUACGAUAUUCUUAAAAGAGUUGUAUGAUAGGAACAAAGACAAACUAGAGUUGCAAGCUGGAGAACCGGAGCGACUUGCUGACAUUGACAAGAGCAUAAAGGAAUGGCAGGAAGAGGAAAGGAUUUUUCAGAAAUCACUGAAUAGAAAUAAACCAGUGUAUAACGGGAAGGAAUUUGAAGGUUUGGUAGUGGAAGAUUUGUUCACACAGCAACAACAAGGAGAAUCAUAUGGAAAAGGAAAUCAACAUGAAAUGAACUCUGCGGCGAAUGAUCAACCAACAGAUAGGAAUGAAACAAGAGUAAACAUGGAAGUCGAAGAUUCAGUGGUUGUGAACAAUGAAGACACUCAAGAAAUGAACGAUUCAUCGGGAACUAAAGAUGGAACUCCAAGUACUUUUGGAACUCAAGAUAAGUGUUGGCAGAAGGGUUUUGAAAGUGGAAUGAAGUUUUCAGAAAAACCAACAAGUAGCAAAUCUGUGGAGAGUUUGAAGGACGGCUUUGAUGCAGGAAGAAAACUAAAGCAAGCUGAUGACUUAGAGCUCAAUAAUGUGGUCGAAAACAUUUCAGAGGCCGAUUCGGUGGUCGAAAACAUUGCAAUAUCCGCUGGAAUAGUAGAAGAGAAAGAUGACAUACAAAUGGAAGUGGUUGUGUUUGACACUCCUUCAAUUACAACAAUAAAACCUGAUGAAAUCUCUGGGUAUGUGCAUACAGGUACCACACCGAGUUUCGGUGCAAUAAUGGAUGAGGUAAUGCGUAAGGCAACACAAGAAAAAGAAGAGGUUGAAGAGCAAACUGAAGAUGUUGACACUACAUCAGGAGCCGCAAUAGGGAAGGGUUGAAGCAAUUGUUUAAUUUGGAUGCAAUUGAGGAGUAAACUGAAGAGGAAACAGAAUCAUAGGAACAAUCAGAUGAUAUAAAAGCAUCAGAAACACAACAACUUCAGGUCAGUUCUCUUGUGAAAUGGGUGAAGAAGGGAGAAAGGCCGAAGAGAAAGACGUAUAAACUUCAAAGUCAAACACCUCCUGCUAAGCGUAAAAGGGUACAAAGGAAAGGUGGAAAAGUAAAAAAGAAGAAGCAAGAGGAGGAGCAAAUUGAAAUAAUUGACAUCGACAGUCAAAUUGAUGUCACACCAGCGGAAUCCAAAAAACUGAUAAAGCCAAAAAAACUAAAAUUGUGGAAAAAAAAUGCAAUGAGAGCGAAAAAGAACUCAUCCAGCCAUUCUUUGAGAAUGCAACUGAAUGCGACAAAGCUUACAGUUUUAUUUCUGCAAUCAUGAUUUGGAAGUAAUCAUCAAUGGGAAGCAGAUACAGUGUCUACUGAAUAAUCAAAACAUUCGCGGUGAGAUUGUUGAUUACUACAUCAACAUGCUGAAAUUAAAGAUGGAAUCGCCGGAUAAACCAGAAUACAUAAACCACAUUAUUCUCUCAACAAAUGAUUAUCCGUUAUUGGGGAUCGCAAUAGCCUCAAAAAAUAUGGCAAAGGUAGAGAGAUGUGGGAUUCCAGAAAAGCUGAGGAAUAGUUACACAGGGAAUGCUGAAGACACAUACCUCAUUAUACCAAUAUGCUUGACUGAUAAGGACGGUGUUGGAUACCAUUGGGUGGUGCUGGCAUUGGUAAAAGGAAAAUGGAUAGUGUACAACUCUGGAAGGCGCAACCCGGCUUACAAUUGGCAAUAUCUUGUGAUGAUAGUACCACUAACUAAAUGGCUGAAUGAAAUGGGCCACAGAGAUCCAGAGACAUGUGUUGAUAUUGAGACAAGCUUUUCACACUACACUGUACCAGCACAAGACUGAUGCAAUUGUGCAUUACAAACUUGCAUGUACAUGAAGAAUUUGGUAAAUCGUGGAAACUGUGAACACCUAUCUGAAAUCACAAACUUAGAUGAGAAGUUGAACAAGAAGAGAGUGAAGAUUGCAGCAAGAAUCUUGGCAGAAUUUGGUUCAUGGAAGAAACCGGAACAACUUCCUGAUUCAGCUACUGAACUCUAUUGAAGUAACCGGAACAACUUCCUCAAUGCAAAUGCAAGACUCAAUUGAACCAGUAGUUGAACCAGUAGCCGAACCAUUAGAGUGAGCUUGAUCUCAUAGUAUGUUCAUGGUAUGUAAAGAAAAUCUAACUGUAGUUUUAAACAUACUUAUCUUAGUAAGUAAAUCUUAUUGAUGUAGGUCUGAUUAUGAAUGAAUUAUUAUGAACCAUCAUGAAUGAAUUAUUAUGGAUGUAUUU